UACGAAGGGGGCUAGCGUUGCUCGGAAUGACUGGGCGUAAAGGGCGCGUAGGCGGAUGGUACAGUCAGAUGUGAAAUUCCUGGGCUCAACCUGGGGACUGCAUUUGAUACGUGCUGUCUCGAGUGUGGAAGAGGGUCGUGGAAUUCCCAGUGUAGAGGUGAAAUUCGUAGAUAUUGGGAAGAACACCGGUGGCGAAGGCGGCGACCUGGUCCAUUACUGACGCUGAAGGCG
rnacentral:rRNA from 1 species